rnacentral:rRNA from 1 species
GAUGAACGCUGGCGGCGUGCCUAAUACAUGCAAGUCGAGCGAACGGACGAGAAGCUUGCUUCUCUGAUGUUAGCGGCGGACGGGUGAGUAACACGUGGAUAACCUACCUAUAAGACUGGGAUAACUUCGGGAAACCGGAGCUAAUACCGGAUGAUAUUUUGAACCGCAUGGUUCAAAAGUGAAAGACGGUCUUGCUGUCACUUAUAGGUGGAUCCGCGCUGCAUUAGCUAGUUGGUAAGGUAACGGCUUACCAAGGCAACGAUGCAUAGCCGACCUGAGAGGGUGAUCGGCCACACGGGAACUGAGACACGGUCCAGACUCCUACGGGAGGCAGCAGUAGGGAAUCUUCCGCAAUGGGCGAAAGCCUGACGGAGCAACGCCGCGUGAGUGGUGAAGGUCUUCGGAUCGUAAAACUCUGUUAUUAGGGAAGAACAUAUGUGUAAGUAACUGUGCACAUCUUGACGGUACCUAAUCAGAAAGCCACGGCUAACUACGUG